AGUCCAGAAAGUGAUAAUGGUCUGAGCAAAGGGUAGAAUGUGGACACAGAAAUAAAGGAAGAAAGCAGGAUAAAAUAGGCUCUACACUUAGAGAUCUGAAGGAACUUAUUCAGUUAGGCUGCUGCAGAAGAAAUGAGCAUGAUUUACAUAAUUUCAGUGUUUGCAAGGGAGCUGCCUGGAUACUUUAUCUUUGUCUGUAUCUUCAUGCCAGUGACUUUACUCCUACUGCUGCUGAUUGCCUAUUUCAGGAUCCAGCUAUCAAAAGUUGAUAAGGAGCUGGCCAUGCUGUAUGAUCCUGGAAACACCCUCCCAAAUUAUGAUGUUGAUCAGCAGAAACCGUGGAGAUCUCGGAAACAAGCAAACAAAUACUGAAAUUAAAUGACAUUAAAGGGAGCCUCAAGCCUCAGGAUAUAAGGUUACAACCACUGCUCAGCUCUUCAGGCUUAAAAAUAACCAGCUGUAGAUAAAUAACAUAGAGGAGAACAAAAUGGAUAGAAGCUAUUGGUAUGCUGUACAAGUAAAGCAGCUGCUGCUAUUCUAAAAGACCUCAUAGCAGUUUUUCUCUCUCACCUGUGGCCAAGUGAUCAGUACUUUCAUCAGCUCAUCAGACACCAGAGACCUCCUGCAAUCUACUGCAUCAUUUUGUUUAUGUGGUGCAGGAUUUGGUGGGACAGAAAGCACCUUGCUCACCACUCUUUCACCAGCCUACAGAGAAGGACAUUCAAUAUUUAACAAGCUCCUGGGAGAGCUGAGCUACAUAUACAAUGCAAGCAGUCUUAUUAAAUUGAAAAUGCAAAAAUAGCAAGUUCAUACAAAGCAAUGACACCUAGAAAUUAAGAAGGGUGAUGGUGGGGAACCGACUUAUGUUUAUCAGCUUGUAUACUUUGUGUAAGAUCGUAGGUUUUCUAAAGUAUGUAAACAAAAUAUGACAGUGAUGGGAAACAGAAGGACACCACUGAUCUCACCAAAGUUUGAAAUAAUGGAAUGCUGCAAUCAGUAUUUUUCUGUUAUCACUUUAUUCUGAGGACAAUUAUUGAAUAAAUGAAUAAAUUCUUACAAAAAUUAAUGAAAAAAAACAAAAAAUUCUCUAAGUAUGGCCAUGUGUGUCUCACAUACUCAGAAAUCUCCCUCCCCCUCCUGGGAGAAUAAUGCUCUAAAGGCAGUUCUUAAAUCAGAAAUAUGCACUCUAUCACCCAGUUGUUAAACAGACCUUACUUUCACAACAUCAAAUUGAUAUACUCAGGACGUUAAGGUGUGCAUUCUUACUUACAUCUCUGACCCAGGCUUUUACAUUACCUAGCAGAUAUAGAGCAACACAGUCCAAAGUUGAGUAUACUUUUCUUGAAACCUAGUGCAUCCAAGACUAUAAAGGCAGAGAGUCUCAAAAGCUGUCAGUAUUGGCCUGCUCCUACCUUUAACAAACUGCUGUUAAGCACUGGCACCAAGUAGCCAAAAUAACACUGCUUUCCUUGAAAGACGCAUCCUGACCCCAUGAAAACGGUAAUGAUGAAAAAAAGUGAUGACGUGUUUAAUGCUUCUAAACUUGAAUUUAUGUCAUUAGAUAUUUAAUGUUCAGUAAAGAUAAAUCAAGAUAGUUAACACAGCGACAGUAAUGUAUUUAUGAAUACUUACGUGACACAAAGCUUGAGAGCAUAAGGUGUAACACAAAUAUUCUUAAGAAUGCCAUUAACUCAUAAAACUACUACUGACAGUGUAAAGAACAGUCAUCUCAAAGGACCUACAUUAAAAGCCUGUCUCUUGGUCACACAGAUAAUGACAUCUUCAGCAUCAGUGCUCCUGUAAGGUGAAGAUGAAACAACAUACCUCAGUCAGUAGAGAUCCUAAAGUUAGAGGCAGGUAUGCUGUCUGAGGAGAGAGAUCUGAAAGUUUGAUUCUAAUGAUUUGCUUACAAAAACAGAGAGAGUAGCAGCUUCAAGGAGGGAGGACACCUUCCAGUUUCGGGGAUUAGUCCCUGCUGCACUCCUCAUUCCAUGUAUCUCUUGGCAGGGAAAGACGGUCUAUCUGGUAGAAGUGGUUCAUAGGCAGUAUUCAACACACAGGUCACUUCUGAGAUCUCGGAUUGCAAAUGAUGUAAGGUCAGAAACAGUCUUUGUCCCUUGCAUGGAUACAGAAUAAGAACCAUAUCCUGCUUGGAGUCCUUACUCAGUGCCCCUCACCACAGGUUGCACUGAAAACACUUGAUGGGAAACAUUUAUUUAUUUUUGACAGAGAAAAAUCAUGCUUAGAGAUUAUGGAUAAUUGAAAAUGCAAAUGGUUCCACGUCUUCUGCAGUAGGAUAUUCAUAGAGACCAGGUUCUUCCGCAUUAUGCAUAUGUCAGUCCUACCCAAAAUUGUUAUUUUACAUUUAAAAAACGUGCUGCUGGCACAAAAGCAGUGACAAAUGCCAAAAACACAGAUUAAAGCAAUUGUACCCUCUCCAGCGCAACUCUUUAAUUUCAGAUACCCAUUCCCACAUCACUCAAAGAAUGACUUGCCUAGACGACAAAUAAAGAUACAGAAUCAAAGUUUAGUAAGCGUUUUUACAACACAAAAUUUUGUUGAUUUCACAAAAUGCCAGGUAUAAAAUAUUAUACAGACAGAUAGAUAGAUAGAUAUCACUGCUGAAGAGUGCUUUUCUGUAAAAUGGCAUUAGAGCUACUGAGAAAAAUAUUUUAGAGAUAUUAAAUAAGGAUUAUAACAGAAAACCACUAGAUCCUUCACCACAACUUCUGAUUAACAUGUAGGAGGAUCUGUCAUUUGGGACUCAGUAACAAGCCAUGAAUGUCUCCAGGUCUUAAUGUCCUUAAUACCAUUACUGAAUCGUGUCAAGAACCACCUGCUUUCAUGCUACUGGCAUGGAGAACAUUAUGAUAUCUUUGUUUCUCUGAGAAUUGAAAAGUAUGCAUUUAAGCAUCACUACAGUGCAAAAUCUUUAAGAAGCAAAUAGCAAAUGCAUAGAACAAAAAUCUGCUGAGGCAGAUAAAAGAAAUACAACAAUAAGUCUUUGAAAAAUGAUGAAAACUGUAAGAGUAUUUAGGAAAAGUACUACUUCCUAGUACAGCACUUACUCUUUUGUUAUACACAUCCCUAGGCAAUAAACAGUAGCAGGAUUCUGAGUUAGUCAUUUAGUCAUUCAUAUACACACACCUCCAAAAAUAUCACUGGAUUUCCUUCAUGCUAAACUGAAUAAGCUAACGCUACAGAAGCAUUAGCAAUACUGCUAAUACCUACAUUUUACAAAUAUUACUAAUCCAAAUGUAUGGUUUCCCAAGUGUAAUAUAAGAAAGGAAAAAAGAAAGUGGAAUCAAGGAAAAAUACAACAAAGCAGCCUGAAAAAUCAAAACAGUUUCAAACCUGGAGCGGUGUCAGGUCCUCAGUGUGGGAUACCAGCUGCUCCAGGUAGCCCAUGUUCAUUGCAAACGUACCUAAAAUCUAAGAAGCUCUUGGUGUGUCCUGGUCAAGGGUACAGUUAAUUGUCACUCUGAUCUCUAUUAUUAUAUUUUAUUCCAUCUAGAUAAUUUCUUCUGUAGCUAAACUAAAAGUUGCUGCUCAGCCUAAGUUGAUAAGAAGAAUGUGUCAGAAAACAGAACUGUGGAGAGGAUUAUUCUGGAAGUGAUUGAAAAACACCCAAAAGACAAUGAGGUCAUUAAUUGCAGCCAGCAUGAGUUCAUAAGGGGAAAGUCCAGUUAAACUAAAUCUUUUAUCAAAAGGUUACCCAUUUAGUCCACAAAGGGAAGCCUGGUGAUGUAAUCUUUUAGACUUUCAGUGAGGUUUCAUUACAGUUUCUCACAGUAUCCUUCUGGAGAAAAUAUCCAGAAUACAGCUAGACAAAAACACAGUGGUGAACUCAAAGAGUUCUAGUAAAUGGGAUUACAUCAGACUGGUAGCCUGUCACCAAUGGAGUUGUCCAGGGCUCCAUUUUAGUGCCAGUUCUCUUCAGCAUUUUCAUUAAUGACUUGAAUACACAACUUCAAGGCAUACUUAGUAAGUUUGUGGAAAACAAAUUGUACAGAGCCGCUGACUCCCUCAAGGGCAGAGAGGCUGGACAGUCAACCACAUGAAGUGCAAUGAGAGCAAGUGUCAGAUACUGCACACGGGACACAGAAACCCUGAAUGUAGGUAUAGACUUGGGGGUGAGAGGCUGGAGUACAGUCCUGCAGGAGCCGAUCUGGUGACUCUGGUUGACAAGAAGUUGUAUUUGAAACAGCAGUGUGCACUGGCAGCCAGAGAGCCAACCAUAUUCUGGAGUGCAUCAGGCCCAGAGCUGCCAUCCUGGCAGUGGGAGGGAUUAUCCCACUGUGCAGUCCCACCUCAAGCCAUGUGCAUAGGUUUGAGUGCCACAAAUAAAAAGCACAUAAAAGCAUUACAGAGCAUUCAAAGGAGGGCAGCAAGCAUGCUAAGGAGUCUGAAGGACAAAACAUGAGGAGCAGUUAAGAUCUCUUGGUUUCCUCAGCUCAGAGCAGAGGAGGCUGAGGAAAGACCUCAUGUCAGCCUGCAGCUCCUGAUGAGGGGAGUGGAGGGGCAGCACUGAUCUCUGCUCUCCGUGACAGAGACUGGGCCGAGGGAACAGCAUGGAGCUGUGUCAGGGGAGGGGCGGAUGGGGGUUUGGGGCAGGGUCUGUACCACAGGGCGGUGGGCAUGGAACAGGCUGCACAGGACAGUGGGCAUGGCCUUAAGUGCCAGAGUUCAGCACUUUCAGACAUAGGAUCUGAAAUUUGGAUGGUCCUGCAUGGAGCCAGGGGUUGGACUCAAUGAUCCCUGUGGGUCUCUUCCAGUUUGGGAUAUUCGAUGAAACACUAUUGCAACUGCUUACUGCGUUGAGCAAUAUCUACAUAUUUAAACUACCUGUUGAGAGAGUUGCUUGCUUGCCCUUUAUGAAGCCUUAAUCUAGCAAACAAUCUGGAGUACAAUUCUAACAUUUAUUUUUGAACCCUCAUGUGAUUUAUUAAGUGUUCCAGUAUAGAAAGCACGUGAAUCACUUCUCUCUAACAGUAUUUAAGUAGAAUUAUUUACUCAAAUAUCUCCUCCAGAUUUUCAUGAAAUGGUCCUACAAUUGUAUGUGAAAUCAGGUAGGUAUUGAAAAGGCAGAUUGAGAGAUGUCUUGAGAACAAUUUCUUCUGUUGCAUUUUGAAGUUUUUGCUAUGGAAAUGUAAAAAACAAAAAA